UACGUAGGGCGCAAGCGUUGUCCGGAAUUAUUGGGCGUAAAGAGCUCGUAGGCGGCCUGUUGCGUCCGCUGUGAAAUCCCGGGGCUUAACCCCGGGCCUGCAGUGGAUACGGGCAGGCUGGAGCAGGCAGGGAGAACGGAAUUCCCGGUGUAGCGGUGAAAUGCGCAGAUAUCGGGAGAACACCGGUGGCGAAGGCGGUCUC
rnacentral:rRNA from 1 species